GUUCACGACCAGUGCGAAAUCUGGGCGUUUUAAGGAGAAGACCAGCCCCUGACGAAGAGCGGAGGUCACCGGAUCAUCACUCACUAAGGUCCACUGGCGUCCUCUGCCGUGGUCCAGAAGCGGCUGACCCCAUCUGUGGACCGCACCACUUUCAGGCAGAAAGCGGCCCGUAGGUGGCGCACUUCCAGCAGCACCAACGCCAGAUACUGAAUAAACAGGAGUGCAUCCACCAGAGAGGCAGCAUAUCCCACAAUGCCCCUGUAGUCUGUCUCCCUGGGCUCCAAUACACGCACUCCAUAGAACAGCCAGUAGGAGGCGACAAAGAGAAAAACCAAUGCCAGCAGCAGACAUCGGUAGACGAAAAAACGUGGAAAAGAGGCACGGGGUGGUCUCAAAAACAAGGCCCAGGUCGAGAUGAGGAGGAUGAGGAGUUUAAAAGCCAGUGAUAUGUAUAGCCCCUCACAAGGAGUUCCACAGGGGUCCAGGGAGUCCCGCCACAGAAGUUGGGGCAGAGCCAGGAAGGCCAGAGGGGUGACGAACGCGAACAAGCCCAAGAUGGCAGCUAGCGUAAGCCCGAGGUAGCGUCGGCAAUGCAGAGGAGUGGAGUCCUCUAGGUCUUUAGUGACUCGGGUCAAAUCCUCCUGAGAAACACUGUCCACAGAGGUCCCCGUGACAACCGUGGUGGUCUCGCCCCAGUUAUCGUCCUGAAGAGAGACAGGAAAUGCAUUAAUAAAAAAGUAUUUAAAAUCAGACACUAAUCAAUAAUAAGACUAAUAUAUAGAAAUUAUAUAGCAGGUAUCAAUACUAAAAAGUCACAUUCACAAGACAGAAAUGAAUCUUUCCUGAAUAGCUUUAGAAUGAUCUUGAUCAUCACAUUCAGAUGAGAUUUAGAUCAGAACAAGUAUCAGAGCACAUAAAGCUCUAUACGCCCAUGUACCACUAUGGAACCUACCUGGGCCAUAAACCCACAAUUAAACCUUGAUGAGACCAGGACUAGAACAGGACCAGACUACGUUCUACAUCCAAAUUAAACUGGGCUCAAAUCACAAGUGUGAAUAUACCUAAAGUGAAGACUAAAUGGGUGUAAACCAGUAAAAGAUAAUUUAAAAGCCCUGACUACACACUAAAGCACAAAUACAAUUGUGUGCUGACCAACACUGUGAUAAUUACUCAUGUCAAUCAUACUCACAAAUUAAAAUAGCUUUUUAAUAUUUCUUCGAAAGUCUAUCUGGACCCUGGUCUUUAAACAGGUUAUGAUCCUCAGACCCACCCUUUCAUCUCCUCUGGUGGACUCCGCGUCCAACAGAGGCUCUCCUGGAGGCUGCAGACUUGACUUGUCUCGACUGCUUCCAUCUCGACUUUUGGAGCUCCGAUGCAACAGGCAACAGUGGAUGUGCCCCAUGGAAAUAGAAAGUUAAAACCAUACAUCAGAGUGUUCUCCAUCAAGAUAAAUACAUUAUAUGCCAGACUGUGGAAGAUUAUAGCCAAAGGAACAACAUUUCCAUGGAAACAAGCAGGAGAUCUCCUCCAGGCCAUGUAAGAGUCCGGUUUGUGGAGAUGCAAGCCCGCUUAUGCAAAGAAGUUAAGUGUUGGGGCUUUAAACAUGUUUUAAAUCCAGUCUGACCUGUGCUUCCUGGAGCUGCGUGAAUGGGAGGACUUGUAGGAGUAUCCGGAGUAGGUGGAGUCGUUGUCCAUGUCGGAGGCAAUGGGAGGGCGGGGUUUCCGGGCCCCUGAUGCCCCGGAGCCCUUGUCCCAGGCCCCCACCAGCGCAGGCUUACACUGAGACAGGCUCUUGGGAGACAGGCCCAGAGGCAGCCGCAGCAACUCCACUCUGCUCCGGAGGGAAUCUAUCUUGGAGGCCUGAAAAACACAAAAAUAUCAAAUGGGUAUCUCCUCAUUGACCUCAUUGCAUUCUACAAUCUGAAAACAACAAGUCUUUAUGUGAGAGGAGAAAAAAUACAGUUUCAAAGAGCUGAAGGGGAGAAUUUGGCAUGAAGAAAAACGAACAUCUCAGGAGGGAGCGAACUACGAUGGCAGCCAGAGAAGAGAGGAGCAUUGUAGAGACUUUGGCUCCAAGUGUCAGUGUGGGGGCUUAAAAAAAAAAAAAAAAAAAAAAAGAUGCAUUGUGUAAUUUUUCUGGUGGAGGGUCCAUCAAACGCUUUUCUUCAUGUUGAUGUUAUUGCUUUGUCUGUAAUGUUUCAGAGAAUGUUUUUUAUCUAUCUUCAUGGAGACCUAACCAGAACAACAAGCUACAGGUCAGAUCUGUGGAGAGACGACCCUGCUCACAGUCAGAAUGCACGUUUUUCUUGGUCCAAUAAAGCACAAUUAUGGCUAGCUAACUACUAUUUUGGUGCACAAGUCCCUGGAGUGUGCAGUUGUGUGGUCAUGAAUUACAGUACUAAGGAACAGACUUGAUACUCAGUACAGAUUCUGAUACCACAAUGAUAAUAAACACUCUUUAGACAAUAGAAUGUGAUGUUCAGUAUUAAAUUAUAACACUUUCUUUUAUAUUACCAUGUGGUCUGUGUAAUCCCUCAGUGGUCCAGGUAGGUUUCAUAGUGGUCCAUGGGCGUAUACUAGUCUAUGUACUCUUAUGCUUGUUCCGAUACAGCUCAAGAUCAUUCUAAAGCUAUUCAGGAAAGGUUCAUUUGACUUUUUACAGUAUCAAUACUUGCUCAAAUGUAUAUAUCUAGUUUAAAUACAAGUUUUAGUAUUGUUUUGAAUCUGAUUUUCAAUUCUUUUGACAACCCUAAUGUAUAGUGGCAUUUUUAAAUUUUAGAAACAGUAUGAUACAAACAUUGGAUGAAGAAUAGAGAUGGGAUGAUUCACUUCAAUUCAGUUUAAUUAAUAAAAAAAAAAAUUCAGAUUUUGAAAACUUUUACCAUUAUUUCUUAGCUUAAACAAAACAAAAUCUACCAUUAAUAUUGAGUAUGUUUUACUAUUGUAUCUCUGACUUGUAGGGAUGUAACAAUAACCAAAAUAUUGUGAUAUUGUGUCAUCAAAGUUCUAACAAUAAUAUGGUGGGCCAUCACAAUAUAUCGAAUUACAAGUCUCUUUGAUUAAAUUAAGAUUUAUGGGGCAGUAAUAGCUAAAAAAAACAGAGGGAACUACAUAGACCAUGAUCCUUUGCUCCAUUUCAGUGCAGACUACAUGAAGACAUAACAGUUCUAAGCACUUUUAAGUCUUAGUUCUUUGGAUUAAGUCUUGUCAAGGCAUUUUAAGAUGAAAAAGUAGCAUAUCAACAGUUUUGUUAGCUUCACAAAAUAUCACAAUAAAUAUUGUACCAUGAAAUGUAUAUUGUGGAAAUAUUGUACCGAGAGAUUUGGAUAUUGUUACAUCCCUAAUCGUGAGCCUCUCCAUAUGUCAAUAGAUAUCGUACCGUGAGGUUCUUACCGUGAGUGACGUAUCGUGAGACUUGAUAUCAUUACACCCCUACUGACUUAUAAUAAAAAUGUAAAAAUUGCUUUCUGAAUUAAAUAAAAAAUUGAACAGGUCAUCAGUUCUGAUAAUUAAACCAAAAUAAACCCAGAGCAAUUGGCAACUAUGAAUAAAUAAAUAUGAGAAGCUUUGCUGUGCUCCUAUGUAUCAACUGUAAUGUAAACAAAUUAAAACACAAAAUAUCCAGUCACUGCUAGCUUCUAAAUGUUGGCAUUGUAAAAAAUAAAGCUAUGCGGGAACAUUAUAUUUGGAGCACUUAUCGCCAUACCAGGCCUGCAUUCCCCAACUGUCCCCUGUCGUCUCCGGGGAAACGGGCUUUGCUGCUACAAUGGUGAUGAAUGAGAGGCUCGGGGUGAGAAAAAAAUACAGGGGAGGGGGUUGUUUCCAUGGGCAACAACAAAGCUACCCCCACCGCUAACCACCCCCAUCUCCUCCCCCUCUCUUCUGCUCAAGUCUUCCAACGAGUGCUUUGAAUCCGGAGUUGCCAAGUCUGCUUCUUUACAGUAGGGUCAAGAGUAUAAAAAAUCAGUUUCUACUCUGAAACUGUAUUACUGUAUGACAUCACAAGGUGUAACACAGUGUUUUCAGUUUGAGAGAAGAACUCAGCCUAAAUAUGCAGAGUUUGUGAGUGAACAGACCACAACUCCUGGUAUGUUUUUAAUGAAGUAACAACAUUAUAACAGAUCAAUAGCGUAAUAUGGAGCCUUUAAUUAAUUACACAAUAGCUUUUUCCUAUGGCCUGGUCACUUGUUGGCUUCUGAAAAUCUGGCAGGCCGGUGCAAAUCCUACAGAGUGGUUGAAAAUCAAAUACUACUCGAUACUAAAACCUGUAUUACCAAUAUACCAGAUGACAGCACAAGGUUGAGCGGAGUGUUUUCGAUUGUAGGGAAGAACUCAGCCUAAAUAUGCAGGGUUUGUGGGAAGAGAUACACUGAUAUGAUACUGGUAUUGGAUAUCGGCGCAGAUAUUGAACAUUUCUAAUGAUCUGAUAUUGGGUUCCAAGAUAUUGGUUCUGCCACGAUCUUAUUUUGGUUUAAAAACUGGUGUAAUAAGAUGAUUUAAUGGUCUAUGCUGGUCCAAAAUGCCUCGAAAUAUUAAACUUGUAUUUUUACAAAGCUGUUCUGCAAUUACUUUA